rnacentral:rRNA from 1 species
AGAUGCUUUGGUGCCUUCGGGAACUCUGAGACAGGUGCUGCAUGGCUGUCGUCAGCUCGUGUUGUGAAAUGUUGGGUUAAGUCCCGCAACGAGCGCAACCCUUAUCCUUUGUUGCCAGCGGUUAGGCCGGGAACUCAAAGGAGACUGCCAGUGAUAAACUGGAGGAAGGUGGGGAUGACGUCAAGUCAUCAUGGCCCUUACGAGUAGGGCUACACACGUGCUACAAUGGCGCAUACAAAGAGAAGCGAACUCGCGAGAGCAAGCGGACCUCAUAAAGUGCGUC